rnacentral:misc_RNA from 1 species
ACUGUGUGCCAUUUUCGCUCC